rnacentral:rRNA from 1 species
GACGAACGCUGGCGGCGUGCUUAACACAUGCAAGUCGAACGGUAAGGCUCCAGCUUGCUGGGGUACACGAGUGGCGAACGGGUGAGUAACACGUGGGUGACCUGCCCUGCACUUCGGGAUAAGCCUGGGAAACUGGGUCUAAUACCGGAUAGGACCGCACCGUGAGGGUGUGGUGGAAAGUUUUUUCGGUGUGGGAUGGGCCCGCGGCCUAUCAGCUUGUUGGUGGGGUAAUGGCCUACCAAGGCGGCGACGGGUAGCCGGCCUGAGAGGGUGGACGGCCACAUUGGGACUGAGACACGGCCCAGACUCCUACGGGAGGCAGCAGUGGGGAAUAUUGCACAAUGGGCGGAAGCCUGAUGCAGCGACGCCGCGUGGGGGAUGACGGCCUUCGGGUUGUAAACUCCUUUCACCAUCGACGAAGGGUUUCUGACGGUAGAUGGAGAAGAAGCACCGGCUAACUACGUGCCAGCAGCCGCGGUAAUACGUAGGGUGCGAGCGUUGUCCGGAAUUACUGGGCGUAAAGAGCUCGUAGAUGGUUUGUCGCGUCGUCUGUGAAAUUCCGGGGCUUAACUCCGGGCGUGCAGGCGAUAUGGGCAUAACUUGAGUACUGUAGGGGAGACUGGAAUUCCUGGUGUAGCGGUGAAAUGCGCAGAUAUCAGGAGGAACACCGGUGGCGAAGGCGGGUCUCUGGGCAGUAACUGACGCUGAGGAGCGAAAGCAUGGGGAGCGAACAGGAUUAGAUACCCUGGUAGUCCAUGCCGUAAACGGUGGGCGCUAGGUGUGGGUUUCCUUCCACGGGAUCCGUGCCGUAGCUAACGCAUUAAGCGCCCCGCCUGGGGAGUACGGCCGCAAGGCUAAAACUCAAAGGAAUUGACGGGGGCCCGCACAAGCGGCGGAGCAUGUGGAUUAAUUCGAUGCAACGCGAAGAACCUUACCUGGGCUUGACAUAUACAGGAUCGCGCCAGAGAUGGUGUUUCCCUUGUGGCUUGUAUACAGGUGGUGCAUGGUUGUCGUCAGCUCGUGUCGUGAGAUGUUGGGUUAAGUCCCGCAACGAGCGCAACCCUUGUCUUAUGUUGCCAGCACGUUGUGGUGGGGACUCGUAAGAAACUGCCGGGGUUAACUCGGAGGAAGGUGGGGAUGACGUCAAAUCAUCAUGCCCCUUAUGUCCAGGGCUUCACACAUGCUACAAUGGUCGGUACAGUGGGUUGCCAGUCCGUGAGGGCGAGCUAAUCCCGCAAAGCCGGUCUCAGUUCGGAUCGGGGUCUGCAACUCGACCCCGUGAAGUCGGAGUCGCUAGUAAUCGCAGAUCAGCAACGCUGCGGUGAAUACGUUCCCGGGCCU